rnacentral:rRNA from 1 species
CGGGAGGCUCCAGCAGUGGGGAAUAUUGCACAAUGGGCGCAAGCCUGAUGCAGCCAUGCCGCGUGUAUGAAGAAGGCCUUCGGGUUGUAAAGUACUUUCAGCGGGGAGGAAGGGAGUAAAGUUAAUACCUUUGCUCAUUGACGUUACCCGCAGAAGAAGCACCGGCUAACUCCGUGCCAGCAGCCGCGGUAAUACGGAGGGUGCAAGCGUUAAUCGGAAUUACUGGGCGUAAAGCGCACGCAGGCGGUUUGUUAAGUCAGAUGUGAAAUCCCCGGGCUCAACCUGGGAACUGCAUCUGAUACUGGCAAGCUUGAGUCUCGUAGAGGGGGGUAGAAUUCCAGGUGUAGCGGUGAAAUGCGUAGAGAUCUGGAGGAAUACCGGUGGCGAAGGCGGCCCCCUGGACGAAGACUGACGCUCAGGUGCGAAAGCGUGGGAAGCAAACAGGAUUAGAUACCCGCGUAGUC